rnacentral:lncRNA from 1 species
CCGGGGGUGGGGAUAGCAACCUUCACAGAAGAUCCAGGCUUUCCUCUGGGGAGCAGAGUAGGGACAGGAGAGCAGCUUGCAUUCAGAUCUUGCAGCACAACCCAAAGCCAUGUAUUUAAAACCCCACUUGGAGGGCAGUGCAGGAAAGAGCCCGCUGUGUGAGGAUCCUCUUGGAAAGCUGCCCGGGAGAUGUAAGUUGGAAGGAGAGAUUUGAAAGGGACGGGGUGGAAGGCUCCUGGUAAAUAAUCUCUCCUUACAUUUGUAGAAGAGUUUAUACUUGCACU